CGGAACGGGUGGGUAACGCGUGAGGAACCUGCCUCAAAGAGGGGGACAACAGUUGGAAACGACUGCUAAUACCGCAUAAGCCCACGGCUCGGCAUCGAGCAGAGGGAAAAGGAGUGAUCCGCUUUGAGAUGGCCUCGCGUCCGAUUAGCUAGUUGGUGAGGUAACGGCCCACCAAGGCAACGAUCGGUAGCCGGACUGAGAGGUUGAACGGCCACAUUGGGACUGAGACACGGCCCAG
rnacentral:rRNA from 1 species